rnacentral:rRNA from 1 species
UACGUAGGGGGCAAGCGUUGUCCGGAUUUAUUGGGCGUAAAGAGCGUGUAGGCGGUUUGGUAAGUCCGUUGUGAAAACUCGAGGCUCAACCUCGAGACGCCGAUGGAAACCAUCAGACUAGAGUCCGGAAGAGGAGAGUGGAAUUCCUGGUGUAGCGGUGAAAUGCGCAGAUAUCAGGAAGAACACCCGUGGCUAAGGCGGCUCUCUAGUACGGUACUGACGCUGAGACGCGAAAGCGUGGGGAGCGAACAGG